rnacentral:rRNA from 1 species
GAUGAACGCUGGCGGCGUGCCUAAUACAUGCAAGUCGAGCGAACAGACGAGGAGCUUGCUCCUCUGACGUUAGCGGCGGACGGGUGAGUAACACGUGGAUAACCUACCUAUAAGACUGGGAUAACUUCGGGAAACCGGAGCUAAUACCGGAUAAUAUAUUGAACCGCAUGGUUCAAUAGUGAAAGACGGUUUUGCUGUCACUUAUAGAUGGAUCCGCGCCGCAUUAGCUAGUUGGUAAGGUAACGGCUUACCAAGGCAACGAUGCGUAGCCGACCUGAGAGGGUGAUCAGCCACACUGGAACUGAGACACGGUCCAGACUCCUACGGGAGGCAGCAGUAGGGAAUCUUCCGCAAUGGGCGAAAGCCUGACGGAGCAACGCCGCGUGAGUGAUGAAGGUCUUCGGAUCGUAAAACACUGUUAUUAGGGAAGAACAAAUGUGUAUGUAACUAUGCACGUCUUGACGGUACCUAAUCAGAAAGCCACGGCUAACUACGUG